CCAGGCUGUAUGGGCGGAUGGUGGAUGCCUUGGCGACAGGAGGCGAUGAAGGACGUGGCAAGCUGCGAUAAGCCGCGGUCAGGUGCAGGCAACCGUUGACCCGCGGAUUUCCGAAUGGAGCAAUCCUCCGCUCUUAAGCAGUGCGGAAUCCCGUGAUGAAUAAAAUAGUUGCGGGAGGCGAACCCGGGGAAGUGAAACAUCUCAGUACCCGGAGGAAAAGAAAACAACAGUGAUUCCGUCAGUAGUGGCGAGCGAAAGCGGAACAGCCCAAACCGGGGGGCUUGCCUCCCGGGGUUGUGGGACCGGGCACACGGAAGUGCGUUGCAAGUGUGAGCAUUUGGAAAGAUGCGCCGCAGCGGGUGACAGCCCCAUGCACGUAACCAACAAACUUCCGCCCGGCACCCGAGUAGGACGGGACACGUGAAACCCCGUUUGAAUCCGGAGGGCCCACCCUCCAAGGCUAAAUACUACCUGUCGACCGAUAGUGCACCAGUACCGUGAGGGAAAGGUGAAAAGAACCCCGCAAGGGGAGUGAAACAGAACCUGAAACCAUCCGCCCGCAAACUGUGGGAGCCAUCCUUGUGGUGGUGACCGCAUGCCUUUUGCAUAAUGAGCCUGCGAGUUGCCCUGUGCGGCGAGGCCAAGCCUUUGGCUGAGCCGAAGCGAAAGCGAGUGCGAACAGCGCGUUUUGAGUCGCAUGGGGCAGACCCGAAGCUGGGUGAUCUAUCCAUGGCCAGGCCGAACCUCCGGUAACGCGGAGUGGAGGGCCGAACCAGUUCAUGUUGAAAAAUGUUUGGAUGAGCUGUGGAUGGGGGUGAAAGGCCAAUCAAACCCAGUGAUAGCUGGUUCUCUCCGAAAUAGCUUUGGGGCUAGCCCCUGGCUUAGGAACACGGGGGUAGAGCGACCGUUCGGCAGAGGGUCCCCACCGGGAUGCCGAAGCCGGCCGAACUCCGAAUACCGUGUCUCCAUGCCCGGGAGUCAGACCGCGGGGGAUAAGCUCCGCUGUCGAAAGGGAAACAGCCCAGACCGCCGGCUAAGGCCCCCAAUGGCGCGUUUAGUGGAUUGAAGGAAGUGGAGUUGCGUUGACAUCCAGGAUGUUGGCUCAGAGGCAGCCAUCAUUUAAAGAGUGCGUAAUAGCUCACUGGACGAGUGAUUCUGCGCCGAAAAUGAUCGGGACUGAAAUGCGCAGCCGAAGCCGCGGAACACUUUUUAGUGUUGGUAGGAGAGCGUCGCAUGUUGGCUGAAGCGUUGCCGUCAGGCUUCGUGGACGACAUGCGAGUGACCAUGCAGGCAUGAGUAACGAAAAGGAAGGUGAGAAUCCUUCCCACCGAAAGUCCAAGGUUUCCUGGGCCAGGUUCGUCCCCCCAGGGUCAGUCGGUCCCUAAGGCGAGGCGGAAGCGCGUAGCCGAUGGACAUCAGGUUAACAUUCCUGAACUCCCGUUGCCCAGUGAUGGCGUGACGCGGAAGGCCGUGCAGGCUUCCUGCUGGAAUAGGAAGUCCAAGCGCGCAGGGUGCCGUGCAGGCAAAUCCGCACGGCAAACAGCCCGAGGCGUGAUGGGGUGCGGCGGAAGCAAUUCCGCUGUCAAGCUGCCGCCGGCCAUGCCGCCGAGAAAAGCGUCUAAGCGUUUUUACGGCUUCGGGAACCGUACCGCAAACCGACACAGGCGGACGGGUCGAGCAGACUAAGGUGCUCGGGAGUAACCACGUUAAGGAACUCGGCAAAAUACCCCCGUAACUUCGGGAAAAGGGGUGCUCUCUGCGGUGGGCUGACAUGCUCUGUCCUGCUGCGGGGAGCCGCAGUUAAGAGGCCCAGGCGACUGUUUAGCAAAAACAUAGCACUCUGCCAAGUCGCAAGACGCCGUAUAGGGUGUGACACGUGACCAAUGCCGAAAGGUCAAGCGGAAGGGUCAGCCGCGAGGCGAAGCCCGGAUGUGAAGCCCCGGUGAAUGUCGGCCGUAACUAUAACGGUCCUAAGGUAGCGAAAUUCCUUGUCGGGCAAGUUCCGACCUGCACGAAUCGUGUAACGAUCUGGGCGCUGUCUCAACGUGGAUCCCGGUGAAGUUGUAGUUCCGGUGAAAAUGCCGGAUACCUGCGGAAGGACGGAAAGACCCCAUGAACCUUUACUGUUGCCUGGCAUUGGCGGCCGGGCGUCCAUGUGUAGAAUAGGUGGGAGGCCUUGAAGCCCCGGCGCCAGCCGGGGUCGAGCCGCCGUUGAAAUACCACCCUUGGGCGUCUGGUUUUCUAACCGCGCUCCGUGCAUCCGGAGGCGGGACCGUGCCAGGCGGUCAGUUUGACUGGGGCGGUUUCCUCCCAAAGAAUAACGGAGGAGUUCGAAGGUCGGCUCACCGCGUUUGGCAAGCGCGGGCACGAGCGCAAGGGCAGAAGCCGGCCUUACUGUGAGACCGACGGGUCGAGCAGUCGCGAAAGCGGGACCUAGUGAUCCAGCGGUGGAAUGUGGCAUCGCCGUUGCUCAUCGGACAAAAGGUACUCUGGGGAUAACAGGCUGAUCGCGCCCAAGCGUCCACAGCGACGGCGCGGUUUGGCACCUCGAUGUCGGCUCAUCACAUCCUGGGGCUGAAGCAGGUCCCAAGGGUUCGGCUGUUCGCCGAUUAAAGUGGUACGCGAGCUGGGUU
rnacentral:rRNA from 1 species